GAGAGAUCAGAGGCGCAGAGUGCGUCAAUGUCAAUGAAGCCUGUGCCUUUUACCUCUUUAA
ensembl:miRNA